AUACAGGGUGAUGGACUGCCUUUUGCAUAAUGAGCCUGCGAGUUGUGGUGUCUGGCAAGGUUAAGCAAACGCGAAGCCGUAGCGAAAGCGAGUCUGAAUAGGGCGCUUAGUCAGAUGCUGCAGACCCGAAACGAAGUGAUCUAUCCAUGAGCAAGUUGAAGCUAGUGUAAGAACUAGUGGAGGACUGAACCCAUAGGCGUUGAAAAGCCCCGGGAUGACUUGUGGAUAGGGGUGAAAGGCCAAUCAAACUUCGUGAUAGCUGGUUCUCUCCGAAAUAUAUUUAGGUAUAGCGUUGUGUCGUAAUAUAAGGGGGUAGAGCACUGAAUGGGCUAGGGCAUACACCAAUGUACCAAACCCUAUCAAACUCCGAAUACCUUAUAUGUAAUCACAGCAGUCAGGCGGCGAGUGAUAAAAUCCGUCGUCAAGAGGGAAACAACCCAGACUACCAGCUAAGGUCCCUAAAUCUUACUUAAGUGGAAAACGAUGUGAAGUUACUUAAACAACCAGGAGGUUGGCUUAGAAGCAGCCAUCCUUUAAAGAAAGCGUAAUAGCUCACUGGUCUAGUGAUUUUGCGCGGAAAAUAUAACGGGGCUAAAGUAAGUACCGAAGCUGUAGACUUAGUUUACUAAGUGGUAGGAGAGCGUUCUAUUUGCGUCGAAGGUAUACCGGUAAGGAGUGCUGGAGCGAAUAGAAGUGAGCAUGCAGGCAUGAGUAGCGAUAAUUAAUGUGAGAAUCAUUAACGCCGUAAACCCAAGGUUUCCUACGCGAUGCUCGUCAUCGUAGGGUUAGUCGGGUCCUAAGUCGAGUCCGAAAGGGGUAGACGAUGGCAAAUUGGUUAAUAUUCCAAUACCAACAUUAGUGUGCGAUGGAAGGACGCUUAGGGCUAAGGGGGCUAGCGGAUGGAAGUGCUAGUCUAAGGUCGUAGGAGGUUAUACAGGCAAAUCCGUAUAACAAUACUCCGAGAACUGAAAGGCUUUUUGAAGUCUUCGGAUGGAUAGAAGAACCCCUGAUGCCGUCGAGCCAAGAAAAGUUUCUAAGUUUAGCUAAUGUUGCCCGUACCGUAAACCGACACAGGUGGGUGGGAUGAGUAUUCUAAGGCGCGUGGAAGAACUCUCUUUAAGGAACUCUGCAAAAUAGCACCGUAUCUUCGGUAUAAGGUGUGGUUAGCUUUGUAUUAGGAUUUACUCCGAAAGCAAGGAAACUUACAACAAAGAGUCCCUCCCGACUGUUUACCAAAAACACAGCACUCUGCUAACUCGUAAGAGGAUGUAUAGGGUGUGACGCCUGCCCGGUGCUCGAAGGUUAAUUGAUGGGGUUAGCAUUAGCGAAGCUCUUGAUCGAAGCCCGAGUAAACGGCGGCCGUAACUAUAACGGUCCUAAGGUAGCGAAAUUCCUUGUCGGUUAAAUACCGACCUGCAUGAAUGGCGUAACGAGAUGGGAGCUGUCUCAAAGAGGGAUCCAGUGAAAUUGUAGUGGAGGUGAAAAUUCCUCCUACCCGCGGCAAGACGGAAAGACCCCGUGGACCUUUACUACAGCUUGACACUGCUACUUGGAUAAGAAUGUGCAGGAUAGGUGGGAGGCUUUGAGUAUAUGACGCCAGUUGUAUAUGAGCCAUUGUUGAGAUACCACUCUUUCUUAUUUGGGUAGCUAACCAGCUUGAGUUAUCCUCAAGUGGGACAAUGUCUGGUGGGUAGUUUGACUGGGGCGGUCGCCUCCCAAAUAAUAACGGAGGCUUACAAAGGUUGGCUCAGAACGGUUGGAAAUCGUUCGUAGAGUAUAAAGGUAUAAGCCAGCUUAACUGCAAGACAUACAAGUCAAGCAGAGACGAAAGUCGGUCUUAGUGAUCCGGUGGUUCUGUGUGGAAGGGCCAUCGCUCAAAGGAUAAAAGGUACCCCGGGGAUAACAGGCUGAUCUCCCCCAAGAGCUCACAUCGACGGGGAGGUUUGGCACCUCGAUGUCGGCUCAUCGCAUCCUGGGGCUGGAGCAGGUCCCAAGGGUAUGGCUGUUCGCCAUUUAAAGCGGUACGCGAGCUGGGUUCAGAACGUCGUGAGACAGUUCGGUCCCUAUCUGCCGUGGGCGUAAGAAGAUUGAAGAGAUUUGACCCUAGUACGAGAGGACCGGGUUGAACAAACCACUGGUGUAGCUGUUGUUCUGCCAAGAGCAUCGCAGCGUAGCUAAGUUUGGAAAGGAUAAACGCUGAAAGCAUCUAAGCGUGAAGCCAACUCUAAGAUGAAUCUUCUCUAAGCUCUCUAGAAGACUACUAGUUUGAUAGGCUGGGUGUGUAAUGGAUGAAAGUCCUUUAGCUGACCAGUACUAAUAGAGCGUUUGGCUUAUCUUUAAUAAAGCAU
rnacentral:rRNA from 1 species